rnacentral:rRNA from 1 species
AGCGUACACGGUGGAUGCCCUGGCAGUCAGAGGCGAUGAAGGACGUGCUAAUCUGCGAUAAGCGUCGGUAAGGUGAUAUGAACCGUUAUAACCGGCGAUUUCCGAAUGGGGAAACCCAGUGUGUUUCGACACACUAUCAUUAACUGAAUCCAUAGGUUAAUGAGGCGAACCGGGGGAACUGAAACAUCUAAGUACCCCGAGGAAAAGAAAUCAACCGAGAUUCCCCCAGUAGCGGCGAGCGAACGGGGAGCAGCCCAGAGCCUGAAUCAGUGUGUGUGUUAGUGGAAGCGUCUGGAAAGGCGCGCGAUACAGGGUGACAGCCCCGUACACAAAAAUGCACAUGCUGUGAGCUCGAUGAGUAGGGCGGGACACGUGGUAUCCUGUCUGAAUAUGGGGGGACCAUCCUCCAAGGCUAAAUACUCCUGACUGACCGAUAGUGAACCAGUACCGUGAGGGAAAGGCGAAAAGAACCCCGGCGAGGGGAGUGAAAAAGAACCUGAAACCGUGUACGUACAAGCAGUGGGAGCACGCUUAGGCGUGUGACUGCGUACCUUUUGUAUAAUGGGUCAGCGACUUAUAUUCUGUAGCAAGGUUAACCGAAUAGGGGAGCCGAAGGGAAACCGAGUCUUAACUGGGCGUUAAGUUGCAGGGUAUAGACCCGAAACCCGGUGAUCUAGCCAUGGGCAGGUUGAAGGUUGGGUAACACUAACUGGAGGACCGAACCGACUAAUGUUGAAAAAUUAGCGGAUGACUUGUGGCUGGGGGUGAAAGGCCAAUCAAACCGGGAGAUAGCUGGUUCUCCCCGAAAGCUAUUUAGGUAGCGCCUCGUGAAUUCAUCUCCGGGGGUAGAGCACUGUUUCGGCAAGGGGGUCAUCCCGACUUACCAACCCGAUGCAAACUGCGAAUACCGGAGAAUGUUAUCACGGGAGACACACGGCGGGUGCUAACGUCCGUCGUGAAGAGGGAAACAACCCAGACCGCCAGCUAAGGUCCCAAAGUCAUGGUUAAGUGGGAAACGAUGUGGGAAGGCCCAGACAGCCAGGAUGUUGGCUUAGAAGCAGCCAUCAUUUAAAGAAAGCGUAAUAGCUCACUGGUCGAGUCGGCCUGCGCGGAAGAUGUAACGGGGCUAAACCAUGCACCGAAGCUGCGGCAGCGACACUAUGUGUUGUUGGGUAGGGGAGCGUUCUGUAAGCCUGUGAAGGUGUGCUGUGAGGCAUGCUGGAGGUAUCAGAAGUGCGAAUGCUGACAUAAGUAACGAUAAAGCGGGUGAAAAGCCCGCUCGCCGGAAGACCAAGGGUUCCUGUCCAACGUUAAUCGGGGCAGGGUGAGUCGACCCCUAAGGCGAGGCCGAAAGGCGUAGUCGAUGGGAAACAGGUUAAUAUUCCUGUACUUGGUGUUACUGCGAAGGGGGGACGGAGAAGGCUAUGUUGGCCGGGCGACGGUUGUCCCGGUUUAAGCGUGUAGGCUGGUUUUCCAGGCAAAUCCGGAAAAUCAAGGCUGAGGCGUGAUGACGAGGCACUACGGUGCUGAAGCAACAAAUGCCCUGCUUCCAGGAAAAGCCUCUAAGCAUCAGGUAACAUCAAAUCGUACCCCAAACCGACACAGGUGGUCAGGUAGAGAAUACCAAGGCGCUUGAGAGAACUCGGGUGAAGGAACUAGGCAAAAUGGUGCCGUAACUUCGGGAGAAGGCACGCUGAUAUGUAGGUGAAGUCCCUCGCGGAUGGAGCUGAAAUCAGUCGAAGAUACCAGCUGGCUGCAACUGUUUAUUAAAAACACAGCACUGUGCAAACACGAAAGUGGACGUAUACGGUGUGACGCCUGCCCGGUGCCGGAAGGUUAAUUGAUGGGGUUAGCCGCAAGGCGAAGCUCUUGAUCGAAGCCCCGGUAAACGGCGGCCGUAACUAUAACGGUCCUAAGGUAGCGAAAUUCCUUGUCGGGUAAGUUCCGACCUGCACGAAUGGCGUAAUGAUGGCCAGGCUGUCUCCACCCGAGACUCAGUGAAAUUGAACUCGCUGUGAAGAUGCAGUGUACCCGCGGCAAGACGGAAAGACCCCGUGAACCUUUACUAUAGCUUGACACUGAACAUUGAGCCUUGAUGUGUAGGAUAGGUGGGAGGCUUUGAAGUGUGGACGCCAGUCUGCAUGGAGCCGACCUUGAAAUACCACCCUUUAAUGUUUGAUGUUCUAACGUUGACCCGUAAUCCGGGUUGCGGACAGUGUCUGGUGGGUAGUUUGACUGGGGCGGUCUCCUCCUAAAGAGUAACGGAGG